ACAAACUUGGUCAUUUAGAGGAAGUAAAAGUCGUAACAAGGUCUCCGUUGGUGAACCAGCGGAGGGAUCAUUACCGAGUUUUCAACUCCCAAACCCCUGUGAACAUACCUAUCGUUGCCUCGGCGGGACGUCCCAGCGGCGGACCGUCGGGGGCACCAAACUCCUGUUUCCGUAACUGUAUCUUCUGAGUGGCGUAAAGCACAAAUACAUCAAAACUUUCAACAACGGAUCUCUUGGUUCUGGCAUCGAUGAAGAACGCAGC
rnacentral:misc_RNA from 1 species